rnacentral:tRNA from 1 species
GCUUGCUGGCUCACGCAGUAGAGCAUGAGACUCUUGAUCUCAGGGUUGUGAGUUCGAGCCCCAUGCUGAGCA